AAAAAUAAUAAUAAACAGGACAGACCGACAAACGUGACGGUAAAGAUUGCUGUUUAAUACUUAGACAUGUGUAUAUAGGGUGUUAUUAUGUGAACCAUGUGCACUCAUAUGCAUAAGUACGGCCGAUCAUCUACAGACAUUUCCUUACAGUUAGCUUGAGGCCAGCGCCUGGGCUCACCUCCCUGCAUGAUUUCUGCAGCCUGUCCCAAGACAGUGAGGCUUCAGUGCUCCUGCUGACAGGGCAGAAAUGGGUGAAUGUAAUUAUGUGGCCGCUGCAUUGGAGGAAUCCAUCACCUGCACAGCAGCAGGGUAAUGUCCUGCUGCUGACUAACCCAUGGGUUUAAAUCAGAGCCUGGACGCUUCUGGUGACAACCUGCUGCCCAUCACUGUCCGAGCACGCACGAAGGCAAACACACGUACCAGUGCAAGUUUAUGUAUGCAGAAUAAUUUAUAUGGUCCACACGUGAUGUCUUCUUCACACACACACACAUCAUUGUGCAUCACACACACACACACAAAUGCAUGAAAGGAGUCUUUAAUCUAAAGAAGAGAGGUUGGCAUUCAAACUUCAUCCCAUUAUUUGCCACAUAUGGCGACUUUGCAGCCACAGUAAAUCUCCAAAUGAGCUGAACCCAAAAUAGAGAUCUGACUCAGAGUCAGUCUAUCAUCACCCUGCCAUAUACUGUAUAAUAGCUAAUAUAAUUCAGGGAUUUCACUAUUAUUUAUGUAGCUCAGCAGAGCGUAAGACCUAUUAUUCACAUUCUGUUAUCCAUUAAGUGACACUGUAGCUUAAUAAGCAAUGUCAGUGAGCUGUAGAGAGGAGUGUCUCCAAAUUUGCUAAAGCUUUUAGCAUUGUGAUUAAAUUGUGUAUUAAUGGAAAAUAGUAAUAGGAGCAUCAUUUUAGACCCAGAAAAAAAUAACUAAACAUAAGUGUUUAAUAUGGGCCUUAUUUUCUCAAUAUGGUUUAACUAGCAUUUUGCUAAAGUUGAUGACAGCUGUCACAGUACAUAGCAUCAUGGCACACAACAUGUCCCAUAAUAAAAUAAGGAAUAUCACUUUCCUAGCCUGUAAAUGCUUAGCCCAGUCCAUGAGUCAGCCUGUGGUAAUUUCACUAAACUCGUUAUAUGGCUCUGAUGUUGAUUUGUCUUGUCUUUGCUGCAUCAGAUUGACAAAUAACUGUGGAUUUCAUGGCACCUGUGCCCUUUCUCUCUCAUGGAGGUGUUGGAUUAAUUUUGGUUCAUAUAUAUGUCAUCAGUAGUUGAGUACUUUUCCGUUAUUUCUGUGUCAGCUUGAACCACUUGAGUCAUGGAAGCUCUGUCAGCCUCUGCCUUGAGCGAGUCAAACCCUAAAGAUCUACAAGUAGAGGGGACUACUGUGAGUCUCCAUCAGCCGUCACCCAGAUGAAUAAGAUGACGAAGCUUCUGAGGAGACAGGCAGAGAGGGCGUGGGGAGA